CAAGAAGUAGUUUAAUUAGAAUAUCAGCUUUGGGUGUUGAUGGUGAGGGGAUUUUCCUUCUUCUUGA
rnacentral:tRNA from 1 species